GACGAACGCUGGCGGCGUGCUUAACACAUGCAAGUCGAGCGGAGCGGCGAACGGGUGAGUAACGCGUGAGUAACUGCCCCACUAUCUGGGAUAAAAGUUGGAAACGGCUGCUAAUACCGGAUAGUGGGGCUUGACUAGGGUCCUAUCAGAUUGUUGGUGGGGUAGUGGCAGACCAAGGCGACGACGGGUAGCCGGCCUGAUAGGGCGACCGGCCACAUUUGGCUGAGCUACGGCACGAACUCCGACGGGAGGCAGCAGUGGGGAAUAUUGCACAAUGGGGGAAACCCUGAUGCAGCAACGCGCGUGCGGGAUGACGGCCUUCGGGUUGUAAACCACUUUCAGCCAUGACGCGGUAGUGGCAGAAGAAGCACCGGCUAACUACGUGCCAGCAGCCGCGGUAAUAC
rnacentral:rRNA from 1 species